GAGAGCCGACUUACGGAGAAAUCCGUACGAGCGGUUCGGGAAGGAGGGGUUGGAAACGGCCUCUAAGGUAUCUGAAGGGAUUAAACGCGCCAACCUCUUACUUUCAC
rnacentral:ncRNA from 1 species